CGAAACCCGUAAUCCUCCCAGGCC
rnacentral:siRNA from 1 species